AGUGAACGCUGGCGGUAGGCCUAACACAUGCAAGUCGAACGGCAGCACAGUAAGAGCUUGCUCUUACGGGUGGCGAGUGGCGGACGGGUGAGGAAUGCAUCGGAAUCUACUUUUUCGUGGGGGAUAACGUAGGGAAACUUACGCUAAUACCGCAUACGACCUACGGGUGAAAGCAGGGGAUCUUCGGACCUUGCGCGAUUGAAUGAGCCGAUGUCGGAUUAGCUAGUUGGCGGGGUAAAGGCCCACCAAGGCGACGAUCCGUAGCUGGUCUGAGAGGAUGAUCAGCCACACUGGAACUGAGACACGGUCCAGACUCCUACGGGAGGCAGCAGUGGGGAAUAUUGGACAAUGGGCGCAAGCCUGAUCCAGCCAUACCGCGUGGGUGAAAAAGGCCUUCGGGUUGUAAAGCCCUUUUGUUGGGAAAGAAAAGCAGCAGGUUAAUACCCCGCUGUUCUGACGGUACCCAAAGAAUAAGCACCGGCUAACUUCGUG
rnacentral:rRNA from 1 species